rnacentral:rRNA from 1 species
GAUGAACGCUGGCGGCGUGCCUAACACAUGCAAGUCGAACGGAGUUUACUCGCUGAUGAAGCUUCGGCAGAAUCUUGAGUAAACUUAGUGGCGGACGGGUGAGUAACGCGUGGGUAACCUGCCGUAUGCAGGGGGACAACAGUUGGAAACGACUGCUAAUACCGCAUAAGCGCACGGUAUUGCAUGAUACAGUGUGAAAAGAUUUAUCGGCAUACGAUGGACCCGCGUUUGAUUAGAUAGUUGGUGAGGUAACGGCUCACCAAGUCAACGAUCAAUAGCCGGCCUGAGAGGGCAAUCGGCCACAUUGGGACUGAGACACGGCCCAAACUCC